AUUUAUAAGGAUACUAGUGUAAUAGUUAUUAAUAAUUUGUUUUAAAAUAUAGAUUAAGGAAUUAAGGUUUUAUGUAAAUAUUUAAGUAUAAAAUUUGUAUAUAUAAUGAAAGUAAAUGUAAGUAAGAGUUUUAGUGUAUUAUCGACCGAUUUUAAUAUAUUCGGAUAAAUUUAAGUAAAAGCGUUAAAUUUUAGAUUUAAAAGAUAGUAAAUUAUAUUUAAAAAGGGUGAAGCUAGAGGAAAUUCUAAUAGAGGUUCGUAGCGGUUUUAAUAUAUAAAUCGAUCGUUAAAUUUAAAUAUAGGGGCAAAAGACUAAUCGAACUAUCUAGUAGCUAAUUAUUGCUGAAGUUUCCUUUAAGAUAAUAAUAUUAUUCUUUAGUUUUAUAAAGUAAAGCGAAUAAUUAGGGAUUCGGGGGCGCUUUUUAGCCUUCAUCUAUUUUUAAACUUUAAAUAUAUAAGAAGCCCUUAUUAUUUAAUUAAAUGUAAAUAUUCGAAUAUAUUAAUAUUAGUAGGCUAUUUUUAGUAAGUAGAAUUAGUAAUACGGAAUAAACCGAACGUGGGGUUAAAGUACUAGAGUGGAUGCUUAUUAAAUACUAUAAAAGGCGUUAAUAUAUUUUAAUAGUAGGAUAGUAGCUAUAGAAGUUGGAAUCUGCUAAGGACUAUAUAAUAAUUUACUUACCGAAUAUAUUAGCCCUAAAAAUAAAUAGCGUUUAAAUAUCCUACCUAUACCCCGCCCUUAGGGUAGAAAUAAUACUUUAAGGAGUAGGCGGCUAUAGAAGUUAAUAAUGAAAUUUAGAGUAUAAAUUUGGGUUGAAUAGCCUUUAAUAUAAAUUUUAAUAGUAAUAGUAAAUAUUUUAAUAAGAAUUUAAAGGACCGAAGUGGGGAAAGGUUCUAUAUAAAUAGUAGUUGGAUAUAAGUUAGUCGAUCCUAAAUUAUAGGGAAAUUCCGUUUUAAAGGGGCACUUAUACCCUAUAUAGCGAAAAGGAAGCCGGUUAAUAUUCCGGUACUUAAAUAUAGGUUUUACGUAGUAAUACAAUUAAAUAUAAAGAUAAUAGCGGGGGCCCUAGGUAGAAUUCUCUUUUCUUUUUAAUAGUCUAUUACCUUAAAAAUAAUUUAUUUAGAAAUAGGAUUUAAUAGUUGGAAAAGCCCGAUACUUCUAUCGGGUCCAAUAUAUUCUCAAUAUCCCUUAAAAAUCUACGGAAAGGAAUAAUUCUUAUACUAGGUUGUCUUUAUAAUUAUAGUAGGUCUCUAAGGUAAAUAACCUCUAAUUAAUAGAAUAAUAUAAAUAAGGGAAAUUAGUAAAAUAGAUCUAUAAUUUUAAGAAAAGGAUUAACUCUAAGGGUUAGGUACGUCGGGCUUUAGGUAGACGCCCUAGGAGUAGAUUGCUACUAGCCGGGUAAUUAACCGGCGGUUUUUAAUAUCCGAGUAUAAAAGCCUUUAAUAGACUUUAAUUGUCCGGCGUAUAUUUAAUAACUAAUUUAGAAUUAAUAUAGAUAAGGGGAAUUUAAUUAUUUAAUUAAAAUAUAGUAUUGUAAUAAUUAGAAAGUAGUAUUAAUAUAAUAUAAUUUCUAUUUAGUACUUUGAAUAUUAAAGUAAAGAAAUUUAAUUAAGUACGGAUAAACGGCGGGAAUAAUUAUAAUUCUCUUAAAGUAACUAAAUACUUCGUUAUUUAAUUAGUAAUAUAUAUAAAUAAAUUAAUAAAAUUCUUAUUAUCCUUAUCUAUUAUUUAGCGAAACUAUAACUAAAGGAACAGGCUUAGUAAAAUUAGUAGGGAAAGAAGACCCUAUUAAAUUUAACUCUAAUUUAAUAUUAUAAAAAGAUAUAGGAAAUAUAAAAUAGGUAGGAACUUUAGCGCUAGUAAAAUACUACUAUUCCUAUUAUUUUUUUACUUAUUUAAUUAAGCAGGGCUAGAUUUUCGUUUAACUUCUAAUUUUAAAGUCCUUUAUAGGCUAACCUAGGUUAAAGAUAUUAUUAGGUAGGGAAUUUAACUAGGGCAGUAUAUUUAUUAAACUAUAAUAUAAGUAUUUUAAAGGGGGUUUAUAGAGAAUAGAAAUUUCUAAUAGAAUAAAAGGGUAAAAGUCCCCUUAAUUUUAAUUUUUAGUAUAAAUACAAAUUAUAAAAGUAUAACCUAUCGAUCCUUUAGUCCCUCGAAAUUUGAGGCUAGAGGUACUAAAAAAAUUAUUAUAGGGAUAAUUAAUUUAUAGCGGCUAAAUAUUUAUAGCGACGUUGCUUUUUAAUCCUUUAAUAUUAGCUCUUCCUAUUAUACCGAAGUAGAAUUUAAUAAAUAUUAGAUUAUUCACCUACUAAUAAGGAAUAUAAAUUAGGUUUAAACUAUUAUAAAAUAGGUUAGUUUUACCCUAUUAAUAACCUUAUUAUAAUAGUAAUUAAAUUUAAUAUAAAAGGAACCAUUUAUUUAAAUAAUUAGUUUUUAUAAUUGUCCGACCGGGUAAUACUGUAAUACUACUAUCUACUAAAUAAUAAUUAAACGCCUCUAAAUUAAAAUCUAUAUUAGAAUAUAAUAAUACCUCUAAUAUAUUAUAGACGUAUAAAAAUAGGCUC
rnacentral:rRNA from 2 species